rnacentral:rRNA from 1 species
UACGUAGGGUGCAAGCGUUGUCCGGAAUUAUUGGGCGUAAAGAGCUCGUAGGCGGCUUGUCGCGUCGGCCGUGAAAACCUGGGGCUCAACCCCGGGCCUGCAGCCGAUACGGGCAAGCUAGAAUUCGGUAGGGGAGACUGGAAUUCCUGGUGUAGCGGUGAAAUGCGCAGAUAUCAGGAGGAACACCGGUGGCGAAGGCGGGUCUCUGGGCCGAAAUUGACGCUGAGGAGCGAAAGCGUGGGGAGCGAACAGG